UGACGUGGGGGCACCCUGACCGCAAUGCCGCGUGAGUGAAAAAGGCCUUCGGGUUGUAAAGCUCUUUUGUCAGGGAAAAAACACCGGCUCUAACACAGUCCGGGAAUGACGGUACCUGAAGAAUAAGCACCGGCUAACUACGUGCCAGCAGCCGCAGUAAUACGUAGGGUGCAAGCGUUAAUCGGAAUUACUGGGCGUAAAGCGUGCGCAGGCGGUUAUACAAGACAGGCGUGAAAUCCCCGGGCUUAACCUGGGAAUUGCGCCUGUGACUGUAUAGCUAGAGUGUGUCAGAGGGGGGGAGAAUUCCACGUGUAACAAAAAAUACGUAGAUAUGUGGAGGAAUACCAAUGGCGAAGGCACCCCCCUGGGAUAACACUGACGCUCAUGCACCAAG
rnacentral:rRNA from 1 species